CACAGAGGAAUUCGAGCGGAAUCAAGACAAAGCCAAAAUAGACAGUGUACAGUACCCAGACAUACACACCUUGACCAAUUUCCUCAAAAAAUACUUACGAGCCUUGCCGAUUCCGAUCAUCGGCUUUGAACAGUACGAAGAAAUGGUCACUACAUUCAGAGAUUUGAAGCACUUAACGGUCGAAGAAAAGGUUGAACGUUUGGUGACUGCAGUUCAAAAACUGAAUGUUUAUCAUUUGGCCAAUUUGGAGACAAUUAUACGACAUCUGUACAAAGUAUCGAGACAGUCACAUGCCAACAAAAUGACAAGUUUCAAUCUGGGUACUAUUUUCGGACAAUGUCUCUUUCGACCAGAAAAUGAUGAUCUGAAAAACCCAAUGAAGUCGCCAAAUUCACUCAUCGAUAUGCCAUAUCAAAACGAAUGUGUCAGUUUCUUAAUAGAGCACUGCAAAUCCGUUUUCCACUAGAAUAGUAAUAUUAAUUUAUUUUCUAUUUUU